GACAUAAAUCUUGUCUAGCCUAUGAAUAGUAAAUUCUUCACGAUUUUGAUUCAGAUGAGAAAUUUCCAUUUGAUGCAUAAAUGAAAAUUAAAAAUCAAGAGGGAUAAGCGGCUUAAUGAUGCAAAUGCUAAUUAGCUGAAUGAAACCUGCUCCAAGUCAACACCUGAUCUAAUUCCAGUGGAACCAACAUGAUCAUCAGCUGUGGAUGAAGAUACUGAAAACUAAAUCUGACAGCUAAAAAUCU